UUUCGCUAUAUAUAUAGAAUUGAAUACGCGAGAGAAUAACUUGGUGAGGGUAAGGUCUUUCUUUCUGCCGUGUCGUUUGCUGUUAUUUUCUGUCGUUUUCCUAUUCAGACCGAACCCUAAUUUUUCACCCAAACCAUGUCGACCAAGCAAGGUGGAAAAGCUAAGCCUUUGAAGAAACCAAAGUCUGAUAAAAAGGAUUACGAUGAGAUUGACAUGGCUAACAUCCAGAAGAAAAAGGAUGAGGAGAAGGCUCUAAAGGAGUUAAAAGCUAAGGCACAACAGAAGGGAUCUUUUGGAGGAUCUGGGCUCAAGAAAAGUGGAAAGAAAUAGAGGAGCUCUUUCUCAUGAUUUCAUACUUCCAGUAUUGAGCUCUGUAAUUACGAUUAUGACUAUGACAAUAUCUCUUAUUGUGUGACGUGUUUUAUUACUGAUGUUAGUACUGAACCAAGGCAUGUUAUGAUGUAAAACACAAUAAGUUACUUGUUUGUACCUUUAUUGUGUCUCCCUUUGGAGUUAUGAUAAUUACAUCUGUUUAGUGUUUUGGCUGUGAUAA